rnacentral:rRNA from 1 species
CCCUUAGAUGUUCUGGGCUGCACGCGCGCUACACUGAUACGUUCAUCGAGCUUACAACCUUGACUGAGAGGUCUGGGUAAUCUUUGAAAGCGUAUCGUGCUGGGGAUAGAUGAUUGUAAUUAUUCAUCUUCAACGAGGAAUUCCUAGUAAACGCGAGUCACUAGCUCGCAUUGAUUACGUCCCUGCCCUUUGUACACACCGCCCGUCGCUGCUACCGAUUGAAUGGCUUAGUGAGUGCCAGGGACCGAGACCAGUGGUUGGGUUUCCUUCCUCUGGAUUUGGGAACUGGUGCAAACUUGAUCAUUUAGAGGAAGCAAAAGUCGUANCA